GAGAGGGAGACAAGGAUCAACCACGAAGAAGGACAGACACAAGAGACCAUCAACCAACCAGAUCUUAAAAGACCUAGCUCCACACCCGACAAACUCUACCGGUUCCAGCAAAAAAUAGGUUACAUACCCCACUAGUAAAAGGAAAAAGAAAAAGAUGUGUCAUUUAAGCAUUAUAAGUUAUAUAAUUAUUAAAAGUAAUAAAUCAAUAAGGACCAUACUUACAAAUAAUUUAAAUAUUAAGUCUAAUACUUGGUCUUCAUCUUGUUUCCUCAUGUUGAGUCUCCAUAAACUUUCUUCUUUUGUGAUGUGAGUUUGUUAUCAUCAAAACUCAGCCAAGUUCAAGAAAGAAAUAUUCUUCAUACUAUUAAUUUUUAAAAUAGUUAAAACUACAACAAUAUGUAUAUGGCGUUGCCUAUCUAUUUUAAUAUGGCUCAUUUUUAUCCUAUUGUUAAGUGAUUGUCCUACUUUUUUU
rnacentral:lncRNA from 1 species